AAUAACUGAAUUUCAUGUAUUUGUUUUUGACAUCAAAUCUUCAUUCUGGAGUGGGGUCUGCCAAGAUUGAAUGCCUUACCUCGCAUUUUGGGGUACAGAGACUCUCUAUGAAAUUGCCAUAGCAUUUUUUGCGAUUCAUAUAAAGAUCGUUUCCUGGUGCCGAGGUGGCCUGUAUCUGAUGGAGCUGAGGAGUUACAUUACUGAAGUCUGAGAGUGAGGAGAUGGGAAUGGCUAUGGCAGACUAUGGAGGAGAGAAAUGGGGGAAUAUUGGGAAUUUGGAAAGACAUCCUUUCAUUGAUCCCGAGUGUGGAUAGGGGACAGGCUUCAUCUUCCACAAGCAGGAAUCUCAUUCCUGCAAGUUUUGUUGGAGCUGUUAUUCCUCAGAAAACAACCAAAGAGGGUGGUUGGAAGGAAAAUCUGCUUCAAUAGUGGAGCUCAUGGUGUCACUCUAGAGUUGUGUCCAGUUGCUGUUGUGCCCAUCUCUGCAGUUACAGUAAAAGGAGCCAGGGGGAAGAGAAGAACAGUAUCUGAAUAUGGCUCCAGAGCAGAGCUGUGAAUUUCACUGCAGAGUCAGUUACAAGCUUUUUCUCCUUGGUUAUAAUUGAUUGUCUUAGUGUGGAGGUGUUUAUCCUCCUCUCCCUGCAACCCAUUUCCCAUAAAUCUCAAUGAAGAGACUAGGUCAGUUUCAUCCCUGGAAUAAUUCAUUACUUGAGUUACACUAGAGGUGAAUUUGGUCCUGAAUGUUUACAUAACAUAUAAGUUUCUGUAGGAGUUGCAAUUUUCCCCAUCUUUCUGGCACUUUCUUUAGACAUUUUCUCACAAGGGCGCUUUAUAAGAUUCCACAAGGUCAUUGAGAGCUUGUGUUUGCAUUUUUAUCUUACCAAUAUGAAGCAUCUGCUCUGCUGUCCCCUGGUAUAUCAGGUGACUUUUUUUCUUCCUACUGUCGGUUGCAGAGAAAAGUCAGGCUUGCUCGACCCGGAAUAAAUUAGUAAAUGCUACUACAGAGUUUCACUGUCCCUCCCUGCCUUUCAGCUGCAAUGUUAUGUGGCAGACUCACUUAUCUCUUCAGAAGCAAAGAAAAUCACUUUGGAUAUUGAAAGAGAAAUUGAAGCCACAAAAGAGCAUAUAGGCCAUCCCUGUCCAUAUGACCAGUAGCUCUAAAUUAACAUUGUUUUUGAGAACUGUUUCACAGGCAUUUAAUGUAAAUGAACUGCUCUCAGAAUCGGUGUAACACGUCUCCAUUACCUUUUCCAGGACUUAGGUCAGCCAUAACUCUUGCUUUGAGAUUAAGCCUAUGUGACGUUAUUGACAGAAUCUCUAACCGUAUAGAUCACUGUUGCAACCACUGUUAUAUAUUUGCAGCAAAUAUUGUACAAAGGUUGUUGUGUGAGGUGUCUGUGGGAAGGUUAUGAUUUGCUGUUUAUGAUUAUGCUAUCUGUAUAUGUGUAUCUUUUUUGUAGUUGAAGUUAUGAAUAUUGGCUCUAAACUGUCUGUAUUUCAAACUUAUUCUAUGCUUCUGGGUGACACCCCAGACAAGUUGGUGUCAGCUCUGCCUAGCCUGCUUGAUGGCCCAUUAAGGACCAUCAGCUAUACAACUGACCCAUUGAGAGAAGGCAGAUACACCUUGUGACUCAGCAAGGUAUGCAGGGACAUGCCUGUGGACAGAACUCUAAGGUAUUUUUUUGCCAUGUGCUGGAAUGAUUGUUUUUGGAACAAAGAAAGAAAGGCCCCAUGACAAGAGACUAUAAAAAGCUGCUGCAGCUCCUCCAUCUUGUCUUCAAUCCUGCUUCUUACCUCUGGAGGGACUUUGCUACAAAUGGAAGCUCUACACAAAGGACUGAUGACCCAUCCCAGCUGUGGAUGUACUCCAGAGAUUUGAUUUGAACCUGCAAUUUAUUCUAUCACUGCUACAAGCCUGAACCAAGAACUUUGCCAUUACUGUAUGUAAUUGAUUCCAUUUAACCAAUUCUAGCUCUCAUCUAUAUCUUUUUUCCUUGUAUGAAUAAACCUUUAGAUUUUA